rnacentral:rRNA from 1 species
GAUGGCGGCCAUAGGGGCUAGUGUCUACCCGAUCCCGUUCCGCUCUCGGAAGUCAAGACUAGCUCCGUUGCAGGAGAUGUGCGCUGCGCGAGCGCGUGACAGGCCUGCAAGCUGCCACAU